UUUUCAGAACCUUCAGUUUGACGGUUUUGACAUCGGCGUCUAUGCGUUUUAGAAAAACAAUGAACGGAAGUUACAAUGCUUGGAAUGCAGAGUAGUGAUGCAGAGAUGCCUUUUUGGCUGCGGAAGCGGCCCAUCCUCAAUCACCCGCCCUAAAGGAGAUACCCUGCUUUAUGGUCUACUUGACUCCAAAUGGACCAUCAUUUCCUAAAUGGACAUCAUGCUGUAUUGAAGGAGACAUAGAGACCAAAGAUUGAGACCAUGAACUCAAGGGAAUAAAUCAGAAAGAAGAGGUGUUUCUAUACAUCAGACUCCCUAAAGAAGCGCUCCCAGCCUUCCCUGCUAGGCCCUGGUUCUGCUGGUUCAGGUCGUGGCCUCCGGCCGCGUGGCGUGAAGCUCUAUUCCUCGGCCGGGCGCGGAGCCCUCACCUCGAGUGCAGGUCAAAAGGUCUAACAGGUGGUGGACAGGUCAGUGCCAGAGGAGCCAUGCAGGAGUUUAUAAGUACUGUUGGCUACUUGAGAAAAUGUACUGAGUCACUUUCCACCGAUAGAGUGAAAGCAUAACGUCACUGGAAAUAUAGCAGUCAAUCAGAUCCACACCUAUGCGCUUUGUCAAAACUGACAUGUUGACCGUGAAGGCGACUUCUUGAUGUGAAAAAUGUAUCGGUCAUAAGGAUGAUGAUUGUCACCAUAUGGCAAAAUUAAGCUUGACGACCCUUGUCACACAAAAUGUUAAAAAAUACUAUACAGUUAUUUUCUGGGAUGAGAAAAAGUCCUCCCACGUUCUGCUGCUGUGCACUUUUCACACAGUCCCUAAACUGAGCAAUCAGGGGAGAAAAAAACAGGUUUGCUGAAAAAUAGCUUUUGCCACUUUAUAAAUGUGGGCUGGGAAACCUCCCCGAAACUGUCACAUCGGCAGAGAUUCAUCAUGAUCGGCAACACAGUGAGGACGCGUAAUGCAACUGGUGCAAUAAGCCAACACAAUGUGUAGCAAAUUAAUCAGACUUGGCCCGGGGCACGCUGUGGAGAAAUGAUCUCAUUGGACCAGACGGGCUGGGGCUCCUCACUAAUUACAUCACAGCACAGCGCCAUGACUCCUCAUCUUUGUUGUGGUUAUUAGGAAAAUAAAAACAGUCAAAUAUCAAACCAUUAUAAGCACUCCUGAAUUCGUAAUGCAGGACUGUUUGUUGAGCGACCAAUUCAUAUUUCUUAAUUUAUGAAAUAUGCAUAUUUCACCUCUUAACCGACAGCAGAUAUUAAAUUAUAAAUGUAUCAUUUACAACAAAUUUGAAUAACAUGAAUGUUUCCACCAUGAAGUGAGCUUUUGUUACACACGAGCAGCGUUUCAUAAGUGAAUGAUUUUGAAAUUCAAAAUCAAUGCACGUGCAUUUAAAUUCAACAGUGCGGUCUAUCUACCGUAUAUAUCACUCACUCCUACACGACCUUGUGACCCCGCGGGUGAACCAGAUCCUUUGACUCAGUGCUACAGUCUUAUCUUCAUCUUCUGAGCGCUUUGCAUUUUGAGACAAAUACGAAUAUAAAUGGGACAAAAUGCAUUCAAGAAAACGGAACAAUUCCCACGACAGCCCACCGGGGUCAUCUCCCGCCGCGCAAAACAACAAGAUGUCAUACACACACAUCUGACCUUACGCCCUGCUAGGAUUUUACAGGCAAAGUGCAAUGCCUUUAGGGGGGCACCCAGACUUCCAGAACACAUACUCGCUGAGCAGCGUGGAACUUAUUGCUUCCCCUUAAGGUGAAGAGCGGGAGAAUAUUUCGUACCACAAAG
ensembl:lncRNA